rnacentral:misc_RNA from 2 species
UCAACCCUCAAGCUUGGCUUGCUAUUGGACCUUCGUCGUUAAAGACAGAUCCCAAAGAUAAUGACAGAGUCAUGUUGGACCUUGAUGCAACGAGCUUUCUAAGCACGCAUUAUAGUGGCCAAAAGGCUCUCGUCCACCCCCUAUUUUAUCA